rnacentral:rRNA from 1 species
UACGUAGGGGGCAAGCGUUAUCCGGAAUUAUUGGGCGUAAAGAGUGCGUAGGUGGUUACCUAAGCGCAAGGUUUAAUCUUGAGGCUCAACCCCAUUUUGCCUUGCGAACUGGGCUACUUGAGUGCAGGAGGGGAAAGCGGAAUUCCUAGUGUAGCGGUGAAAUGCGUAGAUAUUAGGAAGAACACCGGUGGCGAAGGCGGCUUUCUGGACUGUAACUGACACUGAGGCACGAAAGCGUGGGGAGCAAACAGGAUUAGAUACCCUGGUAGUCCCUGAGCGGG